AUUGAACGCUGGCGGCAUGCCUAACACAUGCAAGUCGAGCGAGCGGCGGACGGGUGAGUAAUGUAUGGGGAACUGCCUGAUGGCGGGGGAUCACUACUGGAAACGGUAGCUAAUACCGCAUACCAUCAGAUGAACCCAUAUGGGAUUAGCUUGUAGGUGGGGUAACGGCUCACCUAGGCGACGAUCCCUAGCUGGUCUGAGAGGAGGACCAGCAACACUGGGACGGAGACACGGCCCAGACUCCUACGGGAGGCAGCAGUGGGGAAUAUUGCGCAAUGGGGGCAACCCUGACGCAGCCAUGCCGCGUGAAGGAAGAAGGCCUUCGGGUUGUAAAGUUCUUUCAGUGGGGAGGCGUUAACUGCAGAAGAAGCACCGGCUAACUCCGUGCCAGCAGCCGCGGUAAUUC
rnacentral:rRNA from 1 species